ensembl:snRNA U2 U2 spliceosomal RNA
AUCACUUCUUGACCUUUUGGCUAAAGUCAAGUGCAGUAUCUGUUCUUAUCAGUUAAUACCUGAUAAAGCCUUGAUCUGAGGACAAUAUAUGAAAUGGGUUUGGGGAAUAGAAAGAUGGAAUAGGAGAUUGUUCUGUCCAUUCCAAGUAUUGCAGUACUUCAGGGAACAGUGCACCUUCC